rnacentral:rRNA from 1 species
AGCAGUCGUUCGGAUUCGAAUUGGUGGCGUAAAGAGCUCGUAGGCGGCUUGUCGCGUCUGUUGUGAAAGCCCGGGGCUUAACCCCGGGUCUGCAGUGGAUACGGGCAGGCUAGAGGCAGGUAGGGGAGAACGGGAAUUCCCGGUGUAGCGGUGAAAUGCGCAGAUAUCGGGAGGAACACCGGUGGCGAAGGCGGUUCUCUGGGCCUGUACUGACGCUGAGGAGCGAAAGCGUGGGGAGCGAACAGG